rnacentral:pre_miRNA from 1 species
ACAGACCUCAGUGUGGAUGAUGUUCAGUACCAGUGACAGGAGUGUUUGCCUGUGUAUAGAUGGUGUUCAGCACCAAGGACAGGUGUGUUGGCAC